UCUGAGGAAAUAGAAAUUGCAUUUUUUUUCACUUGGUAGACCUUAUGGACAUGAAAUGCAUGAUGAUGAAAUGUACUUAAGCCUACCUGGUUAAAAAAAAUAAUAACCAGGAAAAAUAUAAUUCGAUUUUCUGCACUGUAGAGUUUCAGUUUUCAUGUAAUUUUCAGGCUAAAAAGUAAAAAUGGAUCGUCCAAAAGUGAUUGUAGAAUGGAAUGCAGUAUAUUUUCUCGAGGUCAAUUACUGCCAUACUGGAUUUCUUCGUACAGCUACACAGCGGUGAUAGGUCGUGGGUCAUGUACAUUAUACCGUUUUACUUCCCCUGAUUAUUAAACCAGGUGGGUUAUCUUCCAUAGGGAAUAGGCCUAUCAAGUGGGGGAUAAACACUCCCGAUUUCGAUUUCACAUGUUGCUAUCACCACCCCGGUGCUCUUGUACAUGUACAAGUCACAAAACGGAGGAAGUUGCUGGGUAGUUCCUUGAUCCUUUGUGUAAAACUAAAAGUUGCUGUGACAAUAGUGAGAAUGCAUAACACAAAUUUCUGUAUCAAAACUUUAGGUAAAUGCAAGCAUGGAUAAUUAUACCGCUGUUUGUAGCCUGUGCUGUGAAUGGUGCAAUAACAAAAUGGACUCACGGUGCAGGGAGUGAGUAAUUACGUAAAUGUAUUGGCCUAAGUAAUCAAUCAUUGCAUAGGCAGGUGGUAUUUCUACAUAAACUUGUUUUUGUUUUGUGUAGAUACUAGACAUGGUUUGCAUAUUUUUUGGGGAGUAUGCAGAGUCUAAGUUUGGCAGGUAGGACAGGUAGGGUAGUUAAUCUCACUUUUUCAGCUUCUGAAGAAAAAAAUCCUUUUCAAAAUUCCAGAAGAGUUUACAAGACCCCACAGAUGACGAAACCCCACUCAGCAAUGAUUCAUACAGGAAUUGAGGAGGAGCCAAAGUCAGCAUGGAUUGUCGAACCAGUAUGGAGGAGUUAUGUAUGACUUUCGAAGAUGCUUCAGUUUGAAAUCUUUCGGACAGUACUCGCAGUGCCGUAGCUGGUGCAUGACCAAGUGAUUGAAGACAGUUCAACAAUGAUGGGCAGAGUGGAACUGAAAAAAAGCAGAUGAGGAGACGGACCUUUUCAGUUUCGCAGCGAGGUCUAGUAACUUCGUAAUCGGGCAAGGUGAUGGAUGUUGCUGCUUGUUGAGUUUUUCAUCUCCUGUCAAGUUUGCGCCUGAAAGAAGAGGUGAUGGAGGGACACACUGAGGGCCCAUGCACCUUCACAUUCAGUCGUACCUUUGGACUGUGUUAAAUAUUUCAAUAUUGGAACAGUUGAUUAAUAGUAAUUGUU